rnacentral:rRNA from 1 species
AGAGUUUGAUCAUGGCUCAGGACUAACNNNGCGGCGUGCNUAAUACAUNCAAGUCGAACGGGAUUCUUUGAUCAGCUUGCUGAGAGAAGGAUCUAGUGGCGGACGGGUGAGUAACGCGUGGGAAUNUGCCUCUUANUGGGGGAUAACAGUGGGAAACUACUGCUAAUACCGCAUAAGAUCUUCGGAUGAAAGGUGCAACUGCACCGGUAAGAGAUGAGCCCGCGUCCCAUNAGCUAGUUGGUGAGGUAAAGGCUCACCAAGGCGACGAUGGGUAGCCGGCCUGAGAGGGUGAACGGCCACACUGGGAGUGAGACNCGGCCCAGACUCCUACGGGAGGCAGCAGUAGGGAAUCUUCCGCAAUGGGCGCAAGCCNGACGGAGCGACGCCGCNUGANUGAUGAAGGCCUUCGGGUCGUAAAGCUCUGUUCUUGAGGANGAAUAAGCCAGGGAGUGGAAAGCCCUGGUGAUGACUGUACUCAAGGAGAAAGCUCCGGCUAACUACGUGCCAGCAGCCGCGGUAAU